rnacentral:tRNA from 1 species
ACCCAAAGCUGAAAUUCUACUUAAACUAUUCCCUG